ACGCUCGACACCUACGGGAGGCGAGCAGUGGGGAAUAUUGCACAAUGGGGGAAACCCUGAUGCAGCGACGCCGCGUGAAGGAAGAAGUAUUUCGGUAUGUAAACUUCUAUCAGCAGGGAAGAAGAUGACGGUACCUGACUAAGAAGCCCCGGCUAACUACGCGUCAGCAGCCGCGGUAAUCUGAGCGGGCUGGCAAGGC
rnacentral:rRNA from 1 species